rnacentral:rRNA from 1 species
AAGACCUUGCGCUUUUGGAGCGGCCGAUGUCUGAUUAGCUAGUUGGURGGGUAAUGGCCUACCAAAGCUUCGAUCAGUAGCUGGUCUGAGAGGACGACCAGCCACACUGGGACUGAGACACGGCCCAGACUCCUACGGGAGGCAGCAGUGGGGAAUUUUGGACAAUGGGCGCAAGCCUGAUCCAGCCAUGCCGCGUGAGUGAAGAAGGCCUUCGGGUUGUAAAGCUCUUUCAGCCGGGAAGAAAAGGCUACGACGAAUAAUCGUAGCUCAUGACGGUACCGGAAGAAGAAGCACCGGCUAACUACGUGCCAGCAGCCGCGGUAAUACGUAGGGUGCGAGCGUUAAUCGGAAUUACUGGGCGUAAAGGGUGCGCAGGCGGUUUUGUAAGUCAGAUGUGAAAUCCCCGGGCUUAACCUGGGAACU